rnacentral:rRNA from 1 species
GAUGAACGCUGGCGGCGUGCUUAACACAUGCAAGUCGAACGGAAAGGCCCAAGCUUGCUUGGGUACUCGAGUGGCGAACGGGUGAGUAACACGUGGGUGAUCUGCCCUGCACUUCGGGAUAAGCCUGGGAAACUGGGUCUAAUACCGGAUAGGACCACUUCUUGGAUGUUGUGGUGGAAAGUUUUCUCGGUGUGGGAUGAGCUCGCGGCCUAUCAGCUUGUUGGUGGGGUAAUGGCCUACCAAGGCGUCGACGGGUAGCCGGCCUGAGAGGGUGUACGGCCACAUUGGGACUGAGGUACGGCCCAGACUCCUACGGGGGGCAGCAGGGGGGAAUAUUGCACAAUGGGCGCAAGCCGGAUGCAGCGACGCCGCGUGUGGGAUGACGGCCUUCGGGGUGUAGACUCCUUUCGCUAGGGACGAAGCGUUUUUGUGACGGUACCUGGAGAAGAAGCACCGGCUAACUACGUG